rnacentral:rRNA from 1 species
UGGGGAAUAUUGGACAAUGGGGGCAACCCUGAUCCAGCCAUGCCGCGUGAGUGAUGAAGGCCUUCGGGUUGUAAAGCUCUUUUGGCGGGGACGAUGAUGACGGUACCCGCAGAAUAAGCCCCGGCUAACUUCGUGCCAGCAGCCGCGGUAAGACGAAGGGGGCUAGCGUUGUUCGGAAUUACUGGGCGUAAAGCGAGUGUAGGCGGUUGCCGUAGUCAGGUGUGAAAGCCUUGAGCUCAACUCAAGAAAUGCACUUGAUACUGGGUGACUAGAGGACCGGAGAGGAUAGUGGAAUUCCCAGUGUAGUGGUGAAAUACGUAGAGAUUGGGAAGAACACCAGUGGCGAAGGCGGCUAUCUGGACGGUUACUGACGCUAAGACUCGAAAGCGUGGGGAGCAAACAGGAUUAGAUACCCUGGUAGUCCACGCCGUAAACGAUGGGUGCUAGACGUUGGCGAGCUUGCUCGUCAGUGUCGCAGCUAACGCGUUAAGCACCCCGCCUGGGGAGUACGGCCGCAAGGUU